UGAAUACGAGACGCUAAGGCGUCGAAGUAGUGUAUGUCAUACUUCCAAGAAAAGCUUGCACUGUCAUAGAUAAAAAACGCCUGUACCAUAACCGACACAGGUGGGUAGGUAGAGUAUACUAAGGGGCGCGAGAUAACUCUCUCUAAGGAACUCGGCAAAAUAACUCCGUAACUUCGGGAGAAGGAGUGCCUUAUUCGUAAGGUUGCAAUAACAAGAUCCAAGCAACUGUUUAUCAAAAACACAGGUCUCCGCUAAGUCGUAAGACGAUGUAUGGGGGCUGACGCCUGCCCAGUGCCAGAAGGUUAAAGAAGUUGGUUAGCAAUUGCGAAGCUGAUAACUGAAGCCCUGGUGAACGGCGGCCGUAACAAUAACGGUCCUAAGGUAGCGAAAUUCCUUGUCGGGUAAGUUCCGACCCGCACGAAAGGCGUAAUGAUUUGGAUACUGUCUCGGAGAGGGGCUCGGUGAAAUAGACUUGUCUGUGAAGAUGCGGACUACCUGCACCAGGACAGAAAGACCCUAUGAAGCUUUACUGUAACUUGAAAUUGAAAUUGGACUUUAUUCGCGCAGUAUAGGUGGGAGGCGUUGAUUAUAAUCUUGUGGGAUUAUUGGAGCCAUCAGUGAGAUACCACUCUUGUAAUGUUAGAUUUCUAACUUUGAAUCAUUAUCUGGUCAAAGAACAGUUUCAGGCGGGCAGUUUGACUGGGGCGGUCGCCUCCUAAACGGUAACGGAGGCGUACAAAGGUUUCCUCUGAACGGUUAGAAAUCGUAUCUAGAGUGUAAAGGCAUAAGGAAGCUUGACUGUGAGACCUACAAGUCGAGCAGGGACGAAAGUCGGUCUUAGUGAUCUGACGGUACUUAGUGGAAAGGCCGUCACUCAACGGAUAAAAGUUACUCUAAGGAUAACAGGCUGAUCUCCCCCAGGAGUUCACAUCGACGGGGAGGUUUGGCACCUCGAUGUCGGCUCAUCGCAUCCUGGGGCGGUAGUACGUCCCAAGGGUUGGGCUGUUCGCCCAUGAAAGCGGUACGCGAGCUGGGUUCAGAACGUCGUGAGACAGUUCGGUCCAUAUCCGGUGUAGGCGUUAGAAUAUUGAGAGGAGCCUUCUUUAGUACGAGAGGACCGAGAAGGACAUACCUCUGGUGUACCAGUUAUCGUGCCAACGGUAAACGCUGGGUAGCUAUGUAUGGAGUGGAUAACCGCUGAAAGCAUCUAAGUGGGAAGCCCACCUCAAGAUAAGUAUUCUCACC
rnacentral:rRNA from 1 species